rnacentral:rRNA from 1 species
CCUACGGGAGGCAGCAGUGGGGAAUAUUGCGCAAUGGGCGAAAGCCUGACGCAGCGACGCCGCGUGAGGGAUGAAGGUCUUCGGAUCGUAAAACUCUGUCAGCAGGGAAGAACGGUCACUGUGCUAAUCAGCAGUGAAUUGACGGUACCUGCAAAGGAAGCACCGGCUAACUCCGUGCCAGCAGCCGCGGCAAUACGGAGGGUGUGAGCGUUAAUCGGAUUUACUGGGCGUAAAGCGCUCGUAGGCGGUAUGUCAAGUCAAGGGUGAAAUCCCCGGGCUCAACGGGGGAACGGCCUUGGAAACUGGCAAACUGGAGUGUGUGAGAGGAUAGUGGAAUUCCAGGUGUAGGAGUGAAAUCCGUAGAUAUCUGGAGGAACAUCAGUGGCGAAGGCGACUAUCUGGCACAUAACUGACGCUGAGGAGCGAAAGCGUGGGUAGCAAACAGGAUUAGAUACCCCUGUAGUC